UUUCAAGGGCUUUGUUUCACACAACGUUUGAUUAAAUAAAAAAUAAGCUAGAAAACACGCACGGACGGACUUUUAAUUUUAUUUUACAAGCAUGGAACAAAUUUAUCAAGGAUAAGCGUUUCAUAUCAGGACAACAGAUUAGAAGAGAAAACUGACGUCAGACAUCUCAUAAUUGUGUGUUAAACAUUGUUAUUAAAAACAUAUUUAUCGAAGAAAUUUACAAAUAAAUUAAUUUAUUCGAGACAGGUCUGUAAACAGUCCAUUAUUUGAUAGUUAGCAAUGUGGGUGGCAGUAAUUUCUUUAAGAGUGAAAGCGCUACAAUAAACAACUCAGGUGCCCCUCGAUGCUUUGACGGACUUUGAUAAGACAUUGACUAGAUAUCAUCAGUUCACCUGAACAAGGGAUUUUUCCCUUGUCCAGCUCGUCAAAAAUGAAUUUUUGGCGCAGUUUGGUCAGUUUUGAUUGUUGCUAUCUGGCAAAACUCGCAAGUGCCUUGCAAUCUCUCUACUACGCAGUUUCGCUUGAAAAGCUCGGCGCGGGAAGUGACUUACCGAUGAGGAGCGCCGGCUCCUUGUUGUCUUCGACGAGGGAGGAAAGCACGAGAAGAAGGGGCUGCGCUGUCGUAAUCCGCUCUUUAUCACACGUGUUGUCGUCGUAGACGAUGACCUCCUUGAAGGCCCUCCGCUUGAGCACGUCUUUUCCCUCCCUCGUGGUGGCCAGGUCGGCCAGGGUGGCCUUCCCCUGCUGCAGCCGGCGCCGGUUGAACCUGUCCGAGCAGUUGAUGUUGAUGGCCCCGUUGAUGUGGUUGACGUUGUAGGAGAUGAACGGGCGGCAGUCCAGCACGAUGAAGGACUUGGGGCCAUGCCGGGCCGCCUCGAGCUUGACUUUGAGCCCGUCGGGGUCCAGCGUCUUGACCUUCUUCAGGACGAGGGCCCUCUGGAGGGUCGCGCUCUCGGCGCACGGACUCGUCGGCAGGCUCACGCUCGGGGUAUCCAGCUUGCAGCGCUUGGGGGGACUUAGCGUGAGAUGGCCCGGGGUCGGGGGUCCAGGCUCACUAAAACUUCGGUUUAGAGGAAGCUUUAGACCGUCCCGCGGCCGACUGCUUUCGAGACACACUGACAUGACGCUAGUUACGCACGUCACGCGCUAUAUCUGGAAGAGUUGAGGAAAACUCACGUUAGUGCCAACACAUGCUGUUGUUCUCGGUUAUAAAUGCAACAACACCCCCUUGAACGGCCCAUGCACCCCUCCACGCACUCCUGACUCACGGCGCACUUAUCAAUGAAACUGGGUGAAUGACUGGAUGAUAAUUACUCCUUCCUGUUGCAUGGUGCGAGAAGAACAAUUUGUGGAACUUAAUUAGGGGUGGCCUAGCGCGCUUUCGGCCACAUGAUCGACUUGCGGAGGGGCGAAGCAACAAGUUGACAACAGAAAUUUGAUUAAUUCCUUAUCUAUCUCAAUUAAUAUCGCUUUAAUCAGGAGCAAAUCGCAAUUGUUGUAUCAGCCCAUUAUUAUUAUUAUAUUUGAUAAGAUAACAAUGGCUCAAUUUGUCUUGUAGGAUUUUUGAUUUUACUCCAAAUUAAAAAUUGCUGUUUGA